GAGGAGUGGCCGAGCGGUUGAAGGCGGCAGUCUUGAAAACUGUUGUGCGGCAACGUACCGUGGGUUCGAAUCCUACCUCCUCC
rnacentral:tRNA from 1 species